CGCCGGGCGCUCGGCAGCGACACGGCUGGGGCUGGGGCUGGGGCUGGAGGACGGACGGACACGGGCUGGAGGACGGACGGACACGGGCUGGAGGACGGACGGACACGGGCUGGAGGACGGACGGACACGCCGAGCCCCGCGGCACAGCGCCUUCCCCGCCCGUCCCCUCGGCUCUCCUGCCCAGCGGGACAGGUUUGGGUCCCUGCGUGGCCGAGGGCAGCAGGUGACACCAUGAUCAAGUCCAGUUGGUUCUACGUCAAGUUCAAGCAUGCCGAGAAGUUGAUCCAGAAAGCCCUGGAGUCCCUGAGCAGAGCAGAUAAUGUUCCUGCUCUGCUGUCACCGGCUGGUUCUGUGGAGUGUUACAUAACCUGUCAUACCAGUUUUGUCAGAGUCAGAUACUUCUGAGAUCUACAACUUGGGAAAUUUGAACAUGGAUGAAAUCCAGGAAACCCAUUUAAUCUGUCUACUUACAGUUACUUGUUCUUUACAAGACUUUCUUCUGAUCCACUAGAGAAGGUGCCAAGUCUGUUCAUCUGUUGGGGGAAAAAAGCCCCAAACCAUAAUGUACACAUGCAGGAAGGCAAGAACUGAUGUGCAUGCCUGGUCUUUUACUGGAUUUCAUGUGUGAUAAGGGACUGUUAACCCUUUGUGUUGAAGUAGGAGUUUCCUAAUGAGAAAUUUUGGGUUUGGCUACGUGGGAGGGCUGUACCCCCUUGCUGAAUGCAGGAUUUUGUGUCAACGUUCUUGUUGCAGUUAGGGUUUGGCUCAUUCUGCUUUAGCUCCCAGUCUUGUCUGCCUGUGAAAGUUGUGCUAGUGUGGCCUAGGUGUGAAUUGAUGCUGAAUUUAUUAAACUGGUGCAGUUCUCUGGCUGGACACUCUGGGUGCACGCUCCAUGAAACAAGUAUUUCUGCAAUAGUGUAACCACACUGGCUUAAAAAAUUAGGUCAAAUUCUUUUGCAACUCCUCUGUGUUGUCAUGGUCUUAGAAAUUGGGUUUAUGUCAGCUAAGCUGAAGAACCUUUGAAAUUCUCAAACCAGCUUUUUACAGCAGUUUGUCUAAAUGGAUUUAAAAUCUCCCUUGGAGAUGCAGUUUCUCCUCUUCAGCUGGCACAAGUGUGGGCUGCUGCAGGAGCCAGUGCUCCUCUCCCAGCAGUGGUGCCUCUGCAGCCACAUGGGGUGGUGACCCCACCUCCACCUGAGCUGGUUUGAUUCCUUUUUUGUGCUGCCUUUGUUUCCAGGCAGGUCAGUGUGUCCCAGUUCACCAUGAGGGUCUGGCCCUAUGGGGUGUACCUGGAUGAGCAGAAAGGACAGUGAUGUCUCUUCUGGCAACAGCCUGUGAAAACCAAAUUAAUUUAACUUUGCUCUCCUCAUGUGGAAGUGUUAUAUAAUCUCUGUUUAAGGGAGGUCAUUUUAGGUUAGGAGGAGGUUGGGUCUGUGCCCUCCUGUCAGUGCAGUAUCUCAGUUAAUCAGAACUGGAGCUGCUCUUCCUGUGUGUGCUGACAUUGCACAGCUCCCUCUUAAUUCUCUUGUAAAGAAGUUCAUUGACAUUUUUACUGGCUGGCCGGCUUUGCUGAAGUUGCCAUCCUUGCCUCUGGCCAUCACAAAUAUUCUUUUUUUCUUUUGGGUUACUUCAGAAGAUGUUGAUGUCUGAAGGCCCCACUUGGAUAAAGCAGAUAUAUUUAUAUGAAUGUCAGAGGUAACUGCAGGAAGCUUGUAGAUUGUACAGUUUUGCUUCCCAUAUACAUUGUCAACCUGCUUUAUUCUCUUGGCAUCACUGCUUUCCUGCCAUAAACUGCUCCAUUGGUUGUGUUUGAAUGCUGCUCAUCCCGGCUGGGUUAUCUACAGAGAGACCUGAACUGAGGUGUGCUGAUGGAACUGGCCUCAGGGAUUGAACCCUCACAGCCUUCUGGGAUCCUCCAAGCUCUUCACAUCCACCUGGAACCUUGACAUCUCCUAAUCAGUUCAUUCAUGUCAUCUGCCUGCUUGCUCAGUGGCCAGUUUGUACAGGUAGGAACUGGUCGUGCGUUUGUGGCUGCAACACAAAGCCUGAACAAUGGUCACCUAAAGACAUGUUGGAACUGAAAACAGGAGAGAAAGACACUGGUUAAGCUGAUGUCCUUUGGUUGGUUAGUUUGCUCAAGUCAUCCAAACAGUUCUUUUAAGUUGUGACAAGCACAAUAAAACCUUUUCCCAGCAGUACAUUUCUAGUUGUGAUUAAAAUAACCAGAUAAUAAAACUAACUAAAGUAGAAAGCUC